rnacentral:rRNA from 3 species
UGGAAACGGUGGCUAAUACCGCAUAACGUCGCAAGACCAAAGAGGGGGACCUUCGGGCCUCUUGCCAUCAGAUGUGCCCAGAUGGGAUUAGCUUGUUGGUGAGGUAACGGCUCACCAAGGCGACGAUCCCUAGCUGGUCUGAGAGGAUGACCAGCCACACUGGAACUGAGACACGGUCCAGACUCCUACGGGAGGCAGCAGUGGGGAAUAUUGCACAAUGGGCGCAAGCCUGAUGCAGCCAUGCCGCGUGUAUGAAGAAGGCCUUCGGGUUGUAAAGUACUUUCAGCGGGGAGGAAGGUGUUGUGGUUAAUAACCGCAGCAAUUGACGUUACCCGCAGAAGAAGCACCGGCUAACUCCGUGCCAGCAGCCGCGGUAAUACGGAGGGUGCAAGCGUUAAUCGGAAUUACUGGGCGUAAAGCGCACGCAGGCGGUCUGUCAAGUCGGAUGUGAAAUCCCCGGGCUCAACCUGGGAACUGCAUUCGAAACUGGCAGGCUUGAGUCUUGUAGAGGGGGGUAGAAUUCCAGGUGUAGCGGUGAAAUGCGUAGAGAUCUGGAGGAAUACCGGUGGCGAAGGCGGCCCCCUGGACAAAGACUGACGCUCAGGUGCGAAAGCGUGGGGAGCAAACAGGAUUAGAUACCCUGGUAGUCCACGCCGUAAACGAUGUCUACUUGGAGGUUGUGCCCUUGAGGCGUGGCUUCCGGAGCUAACGCGUUAAGUAGACCGCCUGGGGAGUACGGCCGCAAGGUUAAAACUCAAAUGAAUUGACGGGGGCCCGCACAAGCGGUGGAGCAUGUGGUUUAAUUCGAUGCAACGCGAAGAACCUUACCUGGUCUUGACAUCCACAGAACUUUCCAGAGAUGGAUUGGUGCCUUCGGGAACUGUGAGACAGGUGCUGCAUGGCUGUCGUCAGCUCGUGUUGUGAAAUGUUGGGUUAAGUCCCGCAACGAGCGCAACCCUUAUCCUUUGUUGCCAGCGGUCCGGCCGGGAACUCAAAGGAGACUGCCAGUGAUAAACUGGAGGAAGGUGGGGAUGACGUCAAGUCAUCAUGGCCCUUACGACCAGGGCUACACACGUGCUACAAUGGCGCAUACAAAGAGAAGCGACCUCGCGAGAGCAAGCGGACCUCAUAAAGUGCGUCGUAGUCCGGAUUGGAGUCUGCAACUCGACUCCAUGAAGUCGGAAUCGCUAGUAAUCGUGGAUCAGAAUGCCACGGUGAAUACGUUCCCGGGCCUUGUACACACCGCCCGUCACACCAUGGGAGUGGGUUGCAAAAGAAGUAGGUAGCUUAACCUUCGGGAGGGCGCUUACCACUUUGUGAUUCAUGACUGGGGUGAAGUCGUAACAAGGUAACCGUAGGGGAACCUGCGGUUGGA